rnacentral:rRNA from 1 species
UACAGAGGUGGCAAGCGUUGUUCGGAAUUACUGGGCGUAAAGGGCGCGUAGGCGGCCUUCUAAGUCAGACGUGAAAUCCCCAGGCUUAACUUGGGAACUGCGUCUGAUACUGGGAGGCUUGAGUGCGGGAGAGGGAUGUGGAAUUCCAGGUGUAGCGGUGAAAUGCGUAGAUAUCUGGAGGAACACCGGUGGCGAAGGCGGCAUCCUGGACCGAAACUGACGCUGAGGCGCGAAAGCUAGGGGAGCAAACGGG